rnacentral:lncRNA from 1 species
UAAACUCUUUACUCUUCUUAAUUUUUUCCAGUGUGUUUAUUUUUUCUCUCUCUUUUUCUCUCUUAAAGAUAACAAAAAGGAAUACAACCAAGGCCUGUGUUUGCUGGUUACUUAACUCUCUUUAUGAACCCCAAAGCAGAAAGAUCAUAUAGGAACAGUGACCCUUAUACUCCUUCAGAAUAAGCCUGUUCAUCUUCAAAUCAAGGGCAAAACCCUAGGCAAUUGGGAAAAUGCUUCAUCAACCACCCAACCAACAGUUGAAGAUAUUUAUGAUAAAACCAGAAGAAUGAAGGAACAGAUGGGAUUCUCUCAGCCUUUCCUGACAAGAGAAAAGAACCACUGUAAAAAGUGUAAAAGAACCACCAGAAGUAGAGAAGAAACCUGGGUUCUACUGGAAACAGUCAGCAGUCUUCACUGGGAUUGAGAUACAGGAACCAUAUUUUUUCACUUGGGGUGGGGGGGAAUAGUAGAAGGCGCAGAGUAUAGAAGUAUACACAGAAAGCCAUUUGACUUGGAGUAUCGUCACACCUGAGGACUCCUUGUCCAUCUUCUAGAAGCGAAUAGACCCAUUGUUACCUUUUCUGGCAUUCUUCAGUGUGGAUGCAGAGCCUCUGGCCAUUAUUGGGAGGAGAUACUAAACAACUCCAAUAUCCCAUUUGGUGAGUGGGACUCCAGGCAUCUUACCCUAGCUAUGGGCCUUUUAGAAUAUUCAUGAAAGUAAUAGAUGAUUUGUUCUGUAACUUAUGUUACUUUCUCUUUUUCUGAGGAGCAAGUGAAUAGCAGUGAACCAAGUCCUCAGACUUGUCUCUGGGAAAGUUUUUCCUUCCUGGUCUUCAAGCUUAGAGUCCCCAGGAAUCCCAGUUGCUGGAUCAAAAGAUGACCUAGGGGUGCCUGAUUGAGUUUCUUUGAAACUUUCCCUCUCAAGGCAUUCUAACUGUCUAAAAUAAAAGAAGCCUCUUAGGUUAGUCCUGGCUCUGA